rnacentral:rRNA from 1 species
AUGACCAUAGAUCGAACAUGUCCCUUUUUUACAGUGCAAUGGCUGGCUAUUCAUGAACUAGCUGUACCUAUUGUUUUUUUCUUGGGAUCAAUAUUAGCAAUGCAGUUCAUCCACGAUAAACCAAAUUCCAACUGUAGAACUAUGACACAAUCAAACCCGAAUGAACAAAAUGUUGAAUUUUUUACAUAG